rnacentral:rRNA from 1 species
GACGAACCGAGCGAACGUUGUUCGGAAUCACUGGGCGUAAAGCGCACGUAGGCGGACUCUUAAGUCGGUGGUGAAAUCCUGGAGCUCAACUCCAGAACUGCCUUCGAUACUGAGAGUCUCGAGUUCGGGAGAGGUGAGUGGAACUGCGAGUGUAGAGGUGAAAUUCGUAGAUAUUCGCAAGAACACCAGUGGCGAAGGCGGCUCACUGGCCCGGUAACUGACGCUGAGGUGCGAAAGCGUGGGGAGCAAACAGG